AUUGAACGCUGGCGGCAUGCCUUACACAUGCAAGUCGAACGGCAGCACGGGAGCAAUCCUGGUGGCGAGUGGCGAACGGGUGAGUAAUAUAUCGGAACGUGCCCAGUCGUGGGGGAUAACGCAGCGAAAGCUGUGCUAAUACCGCAUACGAUCUACGGAUGAAAGCGGGGGAUCGCAAGACCUCGCGCGAUUGGAGCGGCCGAUAUCAGAUUAGCUAGUUGGUGGGGUAAAGGCCCACCAAGGCGACGAUCUGUAGCUGGUCUGUGAGGACGACCAGCCACACUGGAACUGAGACACGGUCCAGACUCCUACGGGAGGCAGCAGUGGGGAAUUUUGGAUAAUGGGCGCAAGCCUGAUCCAGCAAUGCCGCGUGCAGGAUGAAGGCCUUCGGGUUGUAAACUGCUUUUGUACGGAACGAAACGGCUCCUUCUAAUACAAGGGGCUAAUGACGGUACCGUAAGAAUAAGCACCGGCUAACUACGUGCCAGCCGCCGCCGUAAGAC
rnacentral:rRNA from 1 species